CACGUAGGGGGCGAGCGUUGUCCGGAUUUAUUGGGCGUAAAGAGCUCGUAGGCGGCUCAGUAAGUCGGGUGUGAAAACUCCAGGCUCAACCUGGAGACGCCACCUGAUACUGCUGUGGCUAGAGUCCGGUAGGGGAGCAUGGAAUUCCUGGUGUAGCGGUGAAAUGCGCAGAUAUCAGGAGGAACACCAGUGGCGAAGGCGGUGCUCUGGGCCGGUACUGACGCUGAGGAGCGAAAGCGUGGGUAGCAAACAGG
rnacentral:rRNA from 1 species